CCUACGGGAGGCAGCAGUGGGGAAUUGUUCGCAAUGGGCGCAAGCCUGACGACGCAACGCCGCGUGGAGGAUGAAGAUCUUCGGAUCGUAAACCCCUGUCGAGUGGGAAGAACAGCUUUGGGGCGAAUAUCCCCGGAGCCUGACGGUACCACUAAAGGAAGCCCCGGCUAACUCCGUGCCAGCAGCCGCGGUAAUACGGGGGGAGCAAGCGUUGUUCGGAUUUACUGGGCGUAAAGGGCGCGUAGGCGGCGCAACAAGUCACUUGUGAAAUCUCCGGGCUUAACCCGGAGCGGCCAAGUGAUACUGUCGUGCUAGAGUGCGGAAGGGGCUACUGGAAUUCUCGGUGUAGCGGUGAAAUGCGUAGAUAUCGAGAGGAACACCUGCGGCGAAGGCGGGUAGCUGGGCCGACACUGACGCUGAGGCGCGAAAGCCAGGGGAGCGAACGGGAUUAGAUACCCCGGUAGUCCUGGCCUUAAACGAUGGAUACUUGGUGUCCGGGGUUACAUAGUCCCCGGGUGCCGGCGCUAACGCAUUAAGUAUCCCGCCUGGGGAGUACGGUCGCAAGACUGAAACUCAAAGGAAUUGACGGGGACCCGCACAAGCGGUGGAGCAUGUGGUUUAAUUCGACGCAACGCGAAGAACCUUACCUGGGCUAGAAUGCCUCUGACAACCCUGGAGACAGGGCCUUCUGGGUAAAACCAGACAGAGUGCAAGGUGCUGCAUGGCUGUCGUCAGCUCGUGUCGUGAGAUGUUGGGUUAAGUCCCGCAACGAGCGCAACCCUUGUCAGUAGUUGCCAGCGGUUCGGCCGGGCACUCUACUGAGACUGCCGUUGAUAAAACGGAGGAGGUGGGGAUGACGUCAAGUCCUCAUGGCCUUUAUGUCCAGGGCUACACACGUGCUACAAUGGCAGGUACAACCGUCGCAAACUCGCAGAGGGAGCCAAUCGGAAAAGCCUGUCUCAGUUCGGAUGAGUCUGCACUCGACUCCAUGAAGCUGGAAUCGCUAGUAUCGCGGAUCAGCAUGCCGGGGGUGAAUACGUUCCCGGG
rnacentral:rRNA from 1 species